GUCCUAGCUGUAAACGAUGGGCACUAGGUGUGGGGAGUCGACCCCUUCCGUGCCGCAGUUAACGCAUUAAGUGCCCGCCUGGGGAGUACGACCGCAAGGUUGAAACUCAAAGGAAUUGACGGGGCCCGGCACAAGCGGUGGAGCAUGUGGUUUAAUUCGAUGAUACGCGAAGAACCUUACCGGGGCUUGACAUGCAGCAGAACAUUUGUGGAAACAUGGAUGGUCCCUCACGGGACUGUUGCACAGGUGCUGCAUGGCUGUCGU
rnacentral:rRNA from 1 species